GACUCACCGUUUGAUUUUCACUCCACUGACGGGCUUUCCUAGGGUUCCGUUUCGUCUCCUUUUCGAUUUUCGAUUUCAGUUAGCGCUGUACGGAGCAUGGAGAAAACUCCGACGGAGAUUGUCUCCGAGAUGGGUUCUCGUUUGCUUCAGUCAUCUCGUCCGAACAAGGGCUCCCUUGUGAAAUCACUUCGGGAAGCUGCUACUACUCUCUCACAAAUCGAGCAGCCUUUAGUCACCGAAACUGUGAGCAAGAAGAAAGCUCUGAAGCUGCUUGAAGCUGAGCUUAGACCGCUGAAGAAAUCCAUCAUCAAGCAUGACCUUCUUAAGAAUCGUGAUAACGACGUGAGUCUAUUAGUCACUGUCUGUGUCAGUGAGAUUUUUCGGAUUCUGGCACCUGAGCCCUUUUGAAGACAAGUAUCUCAGGGAUAUCUUCAACCUCUUUCUAGCUGAGUUCUCUGAGCUCUCUGAUACUGUAAGCCCUUAUUUCUCGAGAAGGGCAAAGAUCUUGGAAACAGUUUCUCGAUGUAAAUGCUCUCUGCUAAUGCUGGACGUGGACUGCCAUGACUUAAUUCACGAGAUGUUUAACACGUUUUUCUCUGUUGUAAGAGAUCACUAUCACCAGAAUUUAGCUCAUCAGAAAAACGCUAAAGUGCAGCAGCGAAAGGCUAACACGCAGCAAGCGCGACAAAGUUUAUUUAAUGACAUUCUAACGAUAAUGACUGAUAUUCUGAAAGAAGAGGCAAGUUCGUCACUUGUCGGUGUUAUCUUGAAAAUCUUGUGAAGGAGGGAAAGGAUGCGACUCCUGCUGCUAAUAACCUUGCGAGUUCUCUCAUUAAAAUGUACCGACACGCUUGAGCCGUUAAUUUGCAGUUUUCUAACAUCCUGUUUUAUGGAGAAAGAUUCUAUCCAGUCCAAUCUCAAAGAUUCUUACCACGAAAUCAUAUUCAUGAUCUCCUUAAAUGCUCCCCAGAUACUGCUAGCAAUUAUCCCGAACUUGACCCAGGAACUACUGACUGAUCAGGUUGAUGUGAGAAUAAAAGCUCUGAACUUAGCUGGAAGGAUUUUUGCACAGCCUAACCACUGUUCCGGGGAGAUAUAUCGAGAUCUUUUUGUAGAGUUCUUGAGAAGAUUCUCAGAUAAAUCUGCAGAAGUCAGAAUGGCUGCAUUGAAAUGCGGGAAGCAGUGUUACUUGGCGAAUCCCUCUGGAAAUAAAGCAUCUGGAGUUCUCACUGCCAUUCAGAGCGCCUAUUAGAUUUCGAUGAUAGGGUUAGAACACAGGCUUUGGUUGUUGCUUGUGAUAUAAUGAAGUCUAAUAUGACGUAUGCUCCUUUAAUCUGAUCUCUGAGGCCACUGAGAGACUUCGGG